CAUGCAAACCUUGCACUGCAUUCAGUUUUCCAUGAGACACAGGAUGCAGUAUCAGAGGAGUCCGCGACACCAACAAAGGAGAGAGCAUCAAAAACAGAUCAUCACAACCUUUGUAAAAGGAAAGAUCAAAUUGUCUCUAUUGUGCUAAUAGCUAGAAAAUUAAAAAACAACAAAAUCCAACAGAGAAAAAAGAACUGCACUGAACAGUUCUAACUUCCAAUAUGGAUCAGAAAAAUGAACAUCAAAUAUAAAUCAGAAAUAGAACUCUUUAACUUCUCAGCAUUUGAAUACCCCAAAUAAGUGGUUGUCUAAUGUUUGCAACCAUAUAUAGUUUUGAUUAUUAUGAAUUACCUCUUGAGUUGAGAAAUAUUGUUAUUAUGUGUCUAAGCACAGAUCAUAUAUCCAAAUAACACAAAAAAAAAAUCAAUGCAAAUUCAACCUCCUAUAAGGUGUAAGAAAAGCCAAUCCCAACUUGCUACAAUUUUAAACUCCUAACUUGACAAGUUAUGACAACACCUUUCGAAAAAAAAGAAAAAAGAAAAUAUAAAAAAAGAUGCAUUGACAAAGGUACAUCUCACUUGUGAAGGGUAACCUUACAAAUUAACAUAUUUCUGAAACGUACAUUCAACAGAUUUUUAAGAUGGAGUAGAAAUGCAUUCAUUUCACGAACUAUACCCAACUACCUGUGGCUGUAUAACAGGCUCCAGAACAAGAACAGUUAAAUUUGUAUGCAUAUGCAUAUAACUGAAGUGCAUGAAACUAAUGAAUUGUAAAAAUUAACCACCAUAAACAUGUAACAGUUCAAACACAAAAUGACACUUCGGUAAUUGACGUUCAUGAUUAUGUCACUGUCCUUGUUCCUCGACUAAAAGGAGAAGAAAAUUUUUUAACACAAUUCCCAUUUGAAUAAACAAAUUAAAAAAAUCCAUAAGAGUAGGACAAAUUUUGAGACAUACAUCAAUACUGUUCCUAUAGGAUUGAGGAACAAAAAGACUUGUUUUAACACUACCAUAAGAAUCAAAGAUCCUAGCUAGUUCAAGAAAAUUUCAGCAAAAAGCAAAAAGAACUAAAUUCCUAACUUUCUCAUUCCUCAAAAAAACUUUCAGUAAUCUAAUUACUGAUAAGAAACCAGUCAGCAACAAAGCAAGAAUAUAAUCAAUCAAUCCCAUUUUCAAUAAUAAUAAUAAUAAUAA
rnacentral:misc_RNA from 1 species